rnacentral:rRNA from 1 species
UACGUAGGGUGCAAGCGUUAAUCGGAAUUACUGGGCGUAAAGCGUGCGCAGGCGGCUUUGCAAGACAGAUGUGAAAUCCCCGGGCUUAACCUGGGAACUGCAUUUUUGACUGCAUGGCUGGAGUGCGGCAGAGGGGGAUGGAAUUCCGCGUGUAGCAGUGAAAUGCGUAGAUAUGCGGAGGAACACCGAUGGCGAAGGCAAUCCCCUGGGCCUGCACUGACGCUCAUGCACGAAAGCGUGGGGAGCAAACAGG